rnacentral:rRNA from 1 species
UACGUAGGGGGCAAGCGUUGUCCGGAUUUAUUGGGCGUAAAGAGCGUGUAGGCGGCUCGAUAAGUCCGCUGUGAAAGUCCAGGGCUCAACCCUGGAAGGCCGGUGGAAACUGUCGGGCUAGAGUCCGGAAGAGGCGAGUGGAAUUCCCGGUGUAGCGGUGAAAUGCGCAGAUAUCGGGAGGAACACCAAUGGCGAAGGCAGCUCGCUGGGACGGUACUGACGCUGAGACGCGAAAGCGUGGGGAGCAAACAGG